UACGUAGGGUGCGAGCGUUGUCCGGAAUUAUUGGGCGUAAAGGGCUCGUAGGCGGUCUGUCACGUCGGGAGUGAAAACCCGGGGCUUAACCCCGUGCCUGCUUCCGAUACGGGCAGACUAGAGGUAUGCAGGGGAGAACGGAAUUCCUGGUGUAGCGGUGAAAUGCGCAGAUAUCAGGAGGAACACCGGUGGCGAAGGCGGUUCUCUGGGCAUUACCUGACGCUGAGGAGCGAAAGCGUGGGGAGCGAACAGG
rnacentral:rRNA from 1 species